AUUGAACGCUGGCGGCAGGCCUAACACAUGCAAGUCGAGCGAGCGGCGGACGGGUGAGUACUGUCUGGGAAACUGCCUGAUGGAGGGGGAUAACUACUGGAAACGGUAGCUAAUACCGCAUACCAUCAGAUGUGCCCCGAUGGGAUUAGCUAGUAGGUGGGGUAAUGGCUCACCUAGGGGACGAUACCUCGCUGGUCUGAGAUGAUGAACAGCCACACUGGAACGGAGACACGGUCCAGACUCCUACGGGAGGCAGCAGUGGGGAAUAUUGCACAAUGGGCGCAAGCCGGAUGCAGCUAUGCCGCGUGUAUGAAGAAGGCCUUCGGGUUGUAAAGUACUUUCAGCGAGGAGGCGGUACUCGAAGAAGAAGCACCGGCUAACUCCGUGCCAGCAGCCGCGGUAAUUG
rnacentral:rRNA from 1 species